rnacentral:rRNA from 1 species
UGGGGGCUGUAAACCUCUUUUUUCAAGGAAGAAGAUAUGACGGUACUUGAGGAAUAAGCCACGGCUAAUUCCGUGCCAGCAGCCGCGGUAAUACGGGAGUGGCAAGCGUUAUCCGGAAUUAUUGGGCGUAAAGCGUCAGCAGGUGGCCUUUCAAUUUUUUUGUUAAAGCGUGGAAGUUAAAUCCAUUAUGGCAAAGGAAACUGAUCGGCUUGAGUAUGGUAGGGGCAGAGGGAAUUCCCAAGUAGCGGUGAAAUGGGUAGAUAUCGGGAAGAACACCACUGGCGAAGGCGCUAAGCGGGCCAUUACUCACGUUCAUGGACGAAGGCCAGGGGAGGGAAAGGCAUU